rnacentral:rRNA from 1 species
UGGGGAAUCUUGCGCAAUGGGCGAAAGCCUGACGCAGCAACGCCGCGUGUGUGAUGAAGGUCUUCGGAUCGUAAAGCACUGUCGAGAGGGACGAAUAAGGUCGGCGCUAACAUCGCCGGCCGAUGACGGUACCUCUAAAGGAAGCACCGGCUAACUCUGUGCCAGCAGCCGCGGUAAUACAGAGGGUGCAAGCGUUGUUCGGAAUUAUUGGGCGUAAAGCGCGUGUAGGCGGCUCAGCAAGUCGGAUGUGAAAGCCCUCGGCUUAACCGAGGAAGGGCGUUCGAAACUACUGAGCUUGAGUACCGGAGAGGGUGGCGGAAUUCCCGGUGUAGAGGUGAAAUUCGUAGAUAUCGGGAGGAACACCAGCGGCGAAGGCGGCCACCUGGACGGUAACUGACGC